UACGUAGGGUGCGAGCGUUAAUCGGAAUUACUGGGCGUAAAGAGUGCGUAGGCGGUGACCUAAGUCAGAUGUGAAAGCCCCGGGCUUAACCUGGGAUGUGCGUUUGAAACUAAGUCACUAGAGUUUGAUAGAGGGGGGUAGAAUUCCUGGUGUAGCAGUGAAAUGCGUAGAUAUCAGGAGGAAUACCGAUGGCGAAGGCAGCCCCCUGGAUUAAAACUGACGCUCAGGCACGAAAGCAUGGGGAGCAAACAGG
rnacentral:rRNA from 1 species